GAAGAAAAAGAAAGGGGAAAUGAGGGAGAGGCACUAAUGAUUCAUUUCACUGCAACAUGUGACCCAACUUAGGAAACAGCCAACCAACCAAACCAAACCAAAAAAAAAACGCGGAUGAAAAGCAUCACAGCUUCUUCAACUAAGUGAUGGAUUCUUCUUCUUUUCCCCUUUCUUUUUCUUUC
rnacentral:miRNA from 1 species